GAUUCGCUGGCAUAUUAGCACUGGCGUAUUAGCAGGGCUCUUUAUCGCUUCGAGUGUCGGUUUUUUACUGUCACCCGAUACUCAAGGCAGCCCAUUAUUCCAUCUAUUUUCUGGCGCGACCAUGUUAGCGGCAUUUUUUAUUGCGACGGAUCCUGUCACCGCCGCAACGAGUCCCCGUGGUCGAAUUAUCUUCGGGACGUUAAUAGGUAUAUUGGUCUAUAUCAUUCGCACUCAAGGUGGCUACCCUGAUGCUUUCGCCUUUGCCGUAUUACUGGCAAACCUUUGUGCUCCCUUUAUUGACUAUUACGUUCGUCCACGUAGCUAUGGUCAUUCAGCGGGCUAGGCCUUUGUGUUAAGCAUCAAGUGAUGCUUGAAGAAAGACUCUUGAGGAAAGAAAUUGAAUAAUCCAAUGAUUAAAAAUGGACUGUUACUCGCUCUGUUUGCCCUGCUCUGCACUGGCUUAGUCGCAGUGGUUAAUGAACAGACCUUAGAUAAAAUUAAAGAGCAAGAACAGCAAGAAUUGAUGAAAGUGUUACAUCAAUUGAUCCCAGAUGACAUCCAUGACAAUGAGCUCACUGCACAAUGUACUUUGCUGCAGGAUAGAGCGGCGUUAGGCACUGAAAAUCCAAUGCCUGCCUAUAUUGCAACCAAUGCGGGUCAACCAGUUGCAAUUGCGCUGGAGGCCAUCGCUCCCGAUGGUUAUAACGGUAAUAUUAAACUGAUUGUGGGGAUAAACACCCAAGGUGAAGUCCUUGGUGUUCGCACCCUAUCACACCAAGAAACGCCAGGACUUGGUGAUAAAAUCGAUCUGCGUAAAUCCGAUUGGGUGAUGCAAUUUGUGGGUAAACGCCUGAACGCUGAGGAUGACAAACAAUGGCUGGUGAAAAAAGAUGGCGGGGAUUUCGAUCAAUUUACCGGCGCCACCAUCACACCACGCGCCUAUGUUAACGCGGUUAAGCGUGCAGUAUGGUACUUUAACAAUAACCAAGCACAAAUUUUCAGUCAGCCACUGAAUUGUGAGAUAAAACAUGACUAAUUAUCGCGAAAUUGCUUGGCAAGGUCUGUGGAAAAAUAACCCCGGCUUAGUACAACUAUUAGGCCUAUGCCCGCUCCUUGCUGUCACAGCAACCAUAACCAAUGCCCUAGGGCUAGGUGUAGCCACUAUGUUAGUGCUAAUAGGCUCUAAUAUUCUUGUGUCACUUGUACGCGACUAUGUGCCUAAAGAAAUCCGUAUUCCCGUAUUUGUGAUGAUCAUCGCCGCGCUAGUCACCACAGUUCAGUUGCUCAUCAAUGCCUAUGCCUAUGGUCUGUAUUUAUCCCUUGGGAUCUUCCUGCCGCUAAUUGUAACGAACUGCAUCAUCAUUGGCCGCGCCGAGGCAUUUGCCUCACGUAACAAUGCCUUUAGCGCCGCCUUCGAUGGUUUAAUGAUGGGGCUAGGGUUUACCUUAGUGCUCGCCGUUCUUGGGGCAACACGGGAAUUAUUAGGUCAAGGCACACUAUUUGAUGGCGCCGAUCAAUUGCUAGGCCCUUGGGCUAAAU
rnacentral:rRNA from 1 species